rnacentral:rRNA from 1 species
UACGAAGGGGGCUAGCGUUGUUCGGAUUUACUGGGCGUAAAGCGGAUGUAGGCGGGCCGGGAAGUUGGGGGUGAAAUCCCCGGGCUCAACUCCGGAACUGCCUGCAAAACUGCCGGGCUGGAGGAGAAGAGAGGCGGGUGGAAUUCCGAGUGUAGAGGUGAAAUUCGUAGAUAUUCGGGGGAACACCAGUGGCGAAGGCGGCCCGCUGGGUCCUUGCUGACGCUGAGAUGCGAAAGCGUGGGGAGCAAACAGG